AUUGAACGCUGGCGGCAUGCCUUACACAUGCAAGUCGAACGGUAACAGGUUAAGCUGACGAGUGGCGAACGGGUGAGUAAUGUAUCGGAACGUGCCCAGUCGUGGGGGAUAACUGCUCGAAAGAGCAGCUAAUACCGCAUACGACCUGAGGGUGAAAGCGGGGGAUCGCAAGACCUCGCGCGAUUGGAGCGGCCUAUAUCAGAUUAGGUAGUUGGUAGGGUAAAGGCCUACCAAGCCUACGAUCUGUAGCUGGUCUUAGAGGACGACCAGCCACACUGGGACUGAGACACGGCCCAGACUCCUACGGGAGGCAGCAGUGGUGAAUUUGGGACAAUGGACGCAAGUCUGAUCCAGCCAUGCCGCGUGCGGGAAGAAGGCCUUCGGGUUGUAAACCGCUUUUGUCAGGGAAGAAAAGGUUCUGGUUAAUACCCUUGGGGGGAUGACGGUACCUGAAGAAUAAGCACCGGCUAACUACGUGCCAGCCGCCGCCGUAACAC
rnacentral:rRNA from 1 species